rnacentral:rRNA from 1 species
AUUGAACGCUGGCGGCAGGCCUAACACAUGCAAGUCGAGUGGAUGAAGGGAGCUUGCUCCUGGAUUCAGCGGCGGACGGGUGAGUAAUGCCUAGGAAUCUGUCUGGUAGUGGGGGAUAACGUCCGGAAACGGGCGCUAAUACCGCAUACGUCCUGAGGGAGAAAGUGGGGGAUCUUCGGACCUCACGCUAUCAGAUGAGCCUAGGUCGGAUUAGCUAGUUGGUGGGGUAAAGGCCUACCAAGGCGACGAUCCGUAACUGGUCUGAGAGGAUGAUCAGUCACACUGGAACUGAGACACGGUCCAGACUCCUACGGGAGGCAGCAGUGGGGAAUAUUGGGCAAUGGGCGAAAGCCUGAUCCAGCCAUGCCGCGUGUGUGAAGAAGGUCUUCGGAUUGUAAAGCACUUUAAGUUGGGAGGAAGGGCAGUAAGUUAAUACCUUGCUGUUUUGACGUUACCAACAGAAUAAGCACCGGCUAACUUCGUG